AACGCAAAUUGCACUUUCUGGUAUUCCGGAAAGUAUGCCUGUUUGAGGGUCAGUUAAAUAAAAAUCGGUGUUGUUGCUACCCGUAGUGGUGUUAAUGCAUCGGAAUUGAGUUGUCUUUACCUUUUUUGGUUUAAGUGACUUAAAAUUAUGUACGAUUUUUGAACGUAUUUAAAUUAUUUACGUAUGUUCAUAAUAUCAAAUAUUAGAUGCGGUCAUCCUCAUGAUUCACAUCUAUAAUUUUUCAUUAUUUGACCUCAAAUCAGGUAAGAGUACCCGCUGAACUUAA
rnacentral:misc_RNA from 2 species